UACAGAGGUGGCAAGCGUUGUUCGGAAUUACUGGGCGUAAAGGGCGCGUAGGCGGCCUUGUAAGUCCCGUGUGAAAGCCCCCGGCUCAACUGGGGAAUUGCACGGGAAACUGCGGGGCUUGAGUUCGGGAGAGGGAAGCGGAAUUCCGGGUGUAGCGGUGAAAUGCGUAGAUAUGCGGAGGAACACCGAUGGCGAAGGCAAUCCCCUGGGCCUGCACUGACGCUCAUGCACGAAAGCGUGGGGAGCAAACAGG
rnacentral:rRNA from 1 species